CGCGACCUAGAAGAAGCAGUGCUUCUACCUAGAGUGCCUAUAACCAGAGUGACGACAUCUCAUCCGUCAUUUUGGCAACAAUUCAAAACAUUCCAUUAGCUUUACAUUGAAUUGACAGGUCGUUUGCUCGUUUGGAACUGGGAGCUGUCAUUCCAAACGAACAGCUGUCGCCACUCUGAUUAUAGUCACUCUACUUCUACCUAUGAAAGUUUAAUCUGUAUGUAAAGUGAAUGUAAACAAAGCAGGGUAUUUUUUCACUCAAGUUAAAUUAGUUAAUUCUCUGUUUUCUUAUUUAAUGCUUUGUGCGUUGAAGUACGAAAUUAUUUAAAUAAUUCUUAUUUAUCCAUUAGAACAUAUUGUGCGGAGUAUCAUAGCUGGUAUUUCGUCAGUAUAAAGCGACAAAAAAUUUCUCUUCUGGCACUAGUAAUCUGCAUCGAUCAUGGAUCUGAAAAGUUGCUCGAAUGGGCUUGCAAAAACAUUUCCUGACAGUGUAUGUUAUGCUAAGAACAACAACAAAUGCAAAUUGAACCAAAUUGUUUAUGAUUGCUAAAAAAAGGUAACGACCGGGUAUAUCGAGUUCAUCAUGUAAAAUGAAACAAACGAUGCACAAACAAACGUGAAAUAAAUGAUGCAUAACAUAGAUUGAACGACUCAGAAUCGAACCAACGAAAAUUGUUCGGCAAUAAAUUUCGUUCUCCUAAGUGUGAACCCUACUACUAUGUUAAACGAGUAUUUCUGAGGACUGCUUCUGUAUCCGUUGCUUUUAUCGAUUGUCGUUCAAUGCGUGCCUCCAGUUUGUUUACUUAUAUAUUUUUGUAUUUAAUAAUUUUAUACAAUAAAAUAUACUUAAUGAAUAAAUCCCAAAUGUCCUCAAGCAUGAUGUUAUCGGUUCGGAAUAUCUUAACGUCGUUCGUUGUAAUCUCGUUGGAUGUUAAUCGUUCUAUAGAGUCGAGUUUCUGUAACAUAUAAAAUGUUAAUAAUUUUGUGAUCUUAAA